GAUGAGAAAUCUCCGGAAUCGCUGUACCCCCUUGAUGAUUCCCUUGAACCCACUGUAUCUGAUGACUGCGGCUGUUGUGU
rnacentral:snoRNA from 1 species